AACAAGCGACUAAAUCUGUAUUAUCAUUGUGCACCUGUAUCGGUACAAAACAGAUAGUUUCAACUAUUGUAUGCAGGAGAGUUGUAGUAAUACUGAUUAGUUCAUAUUUCUUUAUCAUGCCGUUUAUAGUUGGAUUCAUGGAAAAGACUAGAUGUAAAGCACCAACAUUGUUCAGUUUAGCUGGGGUGAUAUGUGGUCUCCUUAUUAAUUUUGUAUGGUCAGAAGAGAAAGGACUUCAAAACAACAAUCAUAAUGACCACAUGCAAGUUGGAGAAGAAGCUACAGAAAGAUUACAAGAAGAAUCUAUAUAAAGGCAUCGUAAUGCUUUUUGAUGAAAAGUUCCCUCAAACAUACAGUAAGAGGUAUUGGAAGACGUGACACAUAAACUCGUAAAUGUUUGCAAGAUAUUAGAUUGAAGUCAACAAGUUGUGUUUGGAUAGACUGAUAAAAUUAUGCGUGGUUAUUUGCUAACGAUAAAUGAGGAACUUUUGAUGAGAUACUCUGACAUGAAAUGAUGUACCACACGAAAUCAAUUUUGAAAAAAAAUGCACUGAUCGUCUUUGAGGUUUCUCACAUUUAUGGAAUCUGAAAUUAUUUGAGCAAAUAUCUAUCUAUUUAUAUAAAAGACAAAUGCCAGACAAUACGUUAUGGGCAAGCACAUGUCAACAAUGAUUAAAAAUCUUUAAUUGUUUGAACAUGUAUAUAAGUCUCAUAAUAUAUUCAGUGAUCGCUGUGUACUAUGUCAUUUGCAUAACGGUGGUUAGCUUCUUGAAAUGGAACCAAUAUUGCUUCUGUGAUUUUAACUUUUAAAUGAACAUGGAAGGGCAAAAGUGCUCACAUUUGAGCCUCAAUGUUGUACCUAUUUACUAGCGACUUCAUUACAACAUGUAUUUUUCCAUAGGGUACAUAAACGAAUGUUACAUUUU